rnacentral:rRNA from 1 species
GACAGAGGUCCCGAGCGUUAGGCGGAAUCACUGGGCUUAAAGCGUGUGUAGGCGGCGGCCUAAGUACCUUGUGAAAUCCCACGGCUCACCCGUGGAACUGCUCGGUAUACUGGGUCGCUUGAGCCACUUAGGGGCUACCGGAACAAAUGGUGGAGCGGUGAAAUGCGUAGAUAUCAGGAAGAACACCGAUGGCGAAGGCAGCUCUCUGGGACGGUACUGACGCUGAGACGCGAAAGCGUGGGGAGCAAACAGG